GUCACAAACCCACUACCCUUAAAACGCCCAAUCUCAUCUGAUCUCGGAAGCUAAGCAGGGUUGGCUCGGUUGGUACUUAGAUGGGAGACAGCCUGCGAAUCUUGAGUGCUGUAGGCU
rnacentral:rRNA from 1 species